ensembl:snoRNA
UGUUCCCGACCUGGUAGAGUAGCAUCUGGUUGGUGGUGACGAUCUCAUACCAGCCAGGGACAAAGCAACCCCUUGUUUAUCCCAGCUUGGCUUUUGGUCUGUGCCCAUGCUUGGUUCAUGCCUUGGACACAUGG